GCCGGGUGUGGUGAAAGCCUGUAAUCUCAGCAGCUCCGGAGGCUGAGACAGGAGGAUCACAAGUUCAAAGCCAGCCUCAGCAAUGGCAAGGUGCUUAGCAACUCAGUGAGACCCUGUCUCUA
rnacentral:sRNA from 1 species